rnacentral:rRNA from 1 species
UACGUAGGGGGCAAGCGUUGUCCGGAUUUAUUGGGCGUAAAGCGCGCGCAGGCGGCACUCUAAGUACGCUGUGAAAUAUCCCGGCUCAACCGGGAGGGUGCAGUGUAGACUAGGGAGCUAGAGGUCGGUAGAGGGGGGUGGAAUUGCUGGUGUAGCGGUGAAAUGCGUAGAGAUCAGCAGGAACACCCGUGGCGAAGGCGGCCCCCUGGGCCGUACCUGACGCUGAGGCGCGAAAGCUAGGGGAGCAAACGGG